ACAGGAAGCAGAAGGGAGGGACAUUCAGCUUGAGGUUCUUUUUCUUGAGAUGACAUGGAGAAGAGACGCUUUGGCGGUGGGCGUUGGCUGUGGAGCUUUUCCAAAACACUUGAGUCAACAAGCAAGACAGAACCAUAUAUCUUGGGAGAAUUGGAUUUUUCUUUCACUCCUGUAUCCAGCAGUGGCUGACAAUAUCAAAAGAACAUUCUUCUUUCCAUAGGGCUGGCACCUUCCUUUUCUUCUUGGCCAGUCCCCAGAAGAUACAAGCCCUUCUCCACUUCACUGUAAACCUCCUGGGAAGGUGCUGUUCUCAACCUGAAGGAAUGGAUUACUUCAUGAUUUUUUUCCUAAAUGUGCUUGUGGGAGUUUGAUGGCUUCAUGGCCCAUACCUAACUAGCAGCACAGCUCUCUUCAUGACAGACUGUAACUGACUUUAUAGUUUAUGGCAUUGCAGAGAUCUGUGUCGCUUUUCUCCUCAUCCCAUCAUUCAGAGAUCACAAAAAGAAGAAAGAAAAAUACCAGAGCAUAAGUUACACAUGUAAGCUUGCCAGAUUCAUGAAUUGCCUACUGAUGGAAUAUGCCAGAACAACUUAAUGGGUAAAGAACAUGUUUGACAGAAAUACAUCUUGCUCUUCUAGCUCCAACUUUGAAUCAUGUUGAAAACUUUAUUAGUUUUCCUCACCUGAAAGGAGUACCAAAUUAUUUCCCAAACUAUUGCGUUCUUAAGGAUGGCAGCUAUUAAAGAGAAUACAACAGCAAUUACCUAUUAGCACUUAAGUGGUCACCUAUACACUCACUCAGGGAAUAGUUCUCAAGCACCUGCCUCACCAGAGGGGUAGAUUCAAUCCAUAACAUUAGUAAUUACAAUACAUAUUCAAAACACCUAGAAAGAGGUGUCUGCAAAAUAUUUUGGGACUAUAACAUUACAGUUUUUUUCUGAAGGUGAGAAUAGACUUCUGUACUGAUAUUUGACCAUAUUUUUGAAGUAGAUGAAAUGGGAGUAGAAUGAGAUGGUUAAAACAGUAUUUUUUUGAAAGCAGGUAACAAAGAGGAAAGGCCUAAUGAGAUUUUCCUAAUCUUGGAAGGGAGGGGCUCUAAGCAGAGAUCUCAGAAGAGUGGCUAUAUGGUCACUAUAAUGAGUGUUGGUGUCUUCUUAGAAUUUCAUUCCUGCCACUGUUAUUUUGUCCACAGUGUAGAAGAGAGGGGGUCAGGCUGCUUGCAUUUAUUUUUAAAUGUUAAGAGCAACAGGUAUAUGAGGAGGGGAGACCCAGUGAGGUCACUAUUAGGUUAUUUCCUUUGCAGAGAUCCAGGGACAGGCUUUCUGAAACAGAACGUACCAGGGGACAUUGGGGAGGGAUGUGCCCCAUGCAGCAGGGACUGCUGGGUAAAUCCAACAUGGGCUUCAACUCCUCUUUCUUCUCUUCUUCUCUUGCCAUCAUCCCUUGACAAUUUAACAUAGGGCUGUGAAUUUUUGGAAUAAGAACACAAGAAAUCUUUCAAGUUUAGGACAUAUUUGCUUAUUGAGAAUGUUCUCAUGUUAUGGUUUUUCGGUGACAAAGGGAAAUAAACAGGCUCAUGAGAAAGCUGAGCACACAUCAAAAUUAAAUGUGACUGAAGAAUUGAUAUAGCCCUUUGUCCUUAGAGAAGAUGGGUAGUGGCUAACUAACAGUUCUUAUAUUUGGAACGCAGAUUUCUUAUUUGCUUUAAAACAUUGAAAUAAAACUCAACAUUGUUGCA